AGCUUUGAGCAGUGGUAGCACCGUCGCCUGAGGUUUAACCAAGGCACGAUUGUUACUGAUUGAAAACAUGAGACCAAAUUCCAGCCCCCUCCUCCCCACAGUGGCAGGCUGAGGCU
rnacentral:snRNA from 1 species